ACGACUCUCGGCAACGGAUAUCUCGGCUCACGCAUCGAUGAAGAACGUAGCAAAAUGCGAUACUUGGUGUGAAUUGCAGAAUCCCGUGAACCAUCGAGUUUUUGAACGCAAGUUGCGCCCGAAACCAUUUGGUUGAGGGCACGUCUGCCUGGGCGUCACG
rnacentral:rRNA from 2 species